UUAAAGGAGAUGAGCUAAAAAAUACAGAAAAAAAGAAGCUUAAGACCUAAGCAACAACGAUCCUCCAUGGGUCUUCUUCACAAAAUCAAAGAAAAACCAAAAAGGGAAGAUCCCUAAGCUAAAUAAGAGGAACGACCGCAGUAACCGAAAAUCACGACCCCACCCCAAAACUUUGAUCUUCGAUUUCAGUCGAUUCAGCUGUGUCGGUGAAUGUUAAAUGGAGUUGUGUUUCUCGUUAGAUUGAAGAAUAUUAGUUCAAUGAUCGGAUUCCGAUUUGCAAAAUACAAGGUUUUUCUAUACUUCAAUAAUUGAAAAAAUACAAGAAUAGUACACCUCUGUUUUUUCUUUUUGAUUUCUUUAUAUUUUUCAAAAAAUGGAAUUUGAUUAAAUUUGAGUGUAGUUUGAGCUCGCCGCGAGUCUGAAGUUGCCGAUAGAGGUUUCCGGUUCGAGUUCUGUCCAAUAGCUCGCUCAAGAUUCAUUGUUUGGAGCUUCCAUUACUAUACCCGUCGGGAAAUUUUCAGCAAAUCAAGGUCCAUCCUUUUCCGUUGUUUUACUGUCGAUAUUGCAAAAUCUCGUGUUUGUCUCAAUUUGUGAAUGUUAUAUGUGUUGAUCCACCAUUUUUUUCUCCUUAUUAUUUAUGAUAGUUUAAUUGUGCUCUUUAGAUUAGUCAUAGAAUUUAAGUGAAUGAUUUUUUUAAUCAGUUAAUAAUAGAGGGACCAUAGUAUUUGAGCUAAAAGUUGUAAACAUUACCACUAACAUUACACACUUGAUACCCAC
rnacentral:lncRNA from 1 species